rnacentral:rRNA from 1 species
GACGAACGCUGGCGGCGUGCUUAACACAUGCAAGUCGAACGAAGUGGCGAACGGGUGAGUAACGCGUAAUCAACCUGCCCUUCAGAGGGGGACACCAGUUGGAAACGACUGCUAAUACCGAAUACUGAAGGAGGGGAUUGCGUGUGAUUAGCUAGUUGGAGGGGUAACGGCCCACCAAGGCGAUGAUCAGUAGCCUGUCUGGGAGGAUGAACGGCCACAUUGGGACUGGGACACGGCCCAAACUCCUACGGGAGGCAGCAGUGGGGAAUCUUCCGCAAUGGACGAAAGUCUGACGGAGCAACGCCGCGUGAUUGAUGACGGCCUUCGGGUUGUAAAGCUCUGUUAAUCGGGACGCGGUACCGGAAUAGAAAGCCACGGCUAACUACGUGCCAGCAGCCGCGGUAAUAC